UGCCCGAUCGUCUAAUGGCAGGACUACUGAUUUUGGUUCAGUGUGUAUAGGUUCGAAUCCUGUUCGGGCAACAA
rnacentral:tRNA from 1 species